GACGAACGCUGGCGGCGUGCCUAAUACAUGCAAGUUGAGCGCUGAAGGUUGGUACUUGUACCAACUGGAUGAGCAGCGAACGGGUGAGUAACGCGUGGGGAAUCUGCCUUUGAGCGGGGGACAACAUUUGGAAACGAAUGCUAAUACCGCAUAAAAACUUUAAACACAAGUUUUAAGUUUGAAAGAUGCAGUUGCAUCACUCAAAGAUGAUCCCGCGUUGUAUUAGCUAGUUGGUGAGGUAAAGGCUCACCAAGGCGAUGAUACAUAGCCGACCUGAGAGGGUGAUCGGACACAUUGGGACUGAGACACGGCCCAAACUCCUACGGGAGGCAGCAGUAGGGAAUCUUCGGCAAUAGACGAAAGUCUGACCGAGCAACGCCGCGUGAGUGAAGAAGGUUUUCGGAUCGUAAAACUCUGUUGGUAGAGAAGAACGUUGGUGAGAGUGGAAAGCCCAUCAAGUGACGGUAACUACCCAGAAAGGGACGGCUAACUACGUG
rnacentral:rRNA from 1 species